UGGGGAAUCUUGCACAAUGGGGGAAACCCUGAUGCAGCGACGCCGCGUGAGCGAUGAAGCCUUUCGGGGUGUAAAGCUCUUUCGACGGGAACGAUAAUGACGGUACCCGGAGAAGAAGCUGCGGCUAACUACGUGCCAGCAGCCGCGGUAAUACGUAGGCAGCAAACGUUGUUCGGAAUUACUGGGCGUAAAGAGUGUGUAGGCGGUUUGGUAAGUUUGGUGUGAAAUCUCCCGGCUUAACUGGGAGGGUGCGCUAAAGACUGCCAGGCUUGAGUACUGGAGAGGAUAGCGGAAUUCCUGGUGUAGCGGUGAAAUGCGUAGAUAUCAGGAGGAACACCUGCGGUGUAGACGGCUAUCUGGACAGUAACUGACGCUGAGACACGAAAGCGUGGGGAGCAAACAGGAUUAGAUACCCUGGUAGUCCACGCCUAACGAUAGCAUACUUGGUGUGGGUGAGUUCAUUUAUCCGUGCCGGAGCUAACGCGUUAACGUA
rnacentral:rRNA from 1 species